ensembl:lncRNA
CUGAACUAUUCUAGUUCUAAAGGCCCUCAGGCAAAAUCAAGAGAAAUACGUCUCAAACCUGGGUGUCUGCAACCUCACUUACAAGGAAUCAUCAAGAAGCAAGUCUGACUAUGGAAAGGUGUGAUGCUCCCUUUCUCAGUCUCCCUGGGCAAAAAGACAAGCUAUAAGAGUGAAACAUCUUCUCAACGUGGGUAAAGAUAGGACACCAGCAGGAAUCCCUGCUUUUGCCACCACUUGCAGAGUGAAGAGCCUCUACACUGUUCCACAUGCAUCCAAAAGCAAGUUCAGGCUUCAGAGGAAUCUGCAGAAAAUAUAAUUAUGCUACUGCAUUUUAGAAAGGUGAAGCUACGCAAAGCAGCAUAUUCACCCACCCUGUCUGAAGCAACUAACUUUGUUCAGAGCACUCUGGAGAUGCCAGCAGCCAUGCAGGAAGCUUAUCUUCAUACACAGGUGCCAGUCCCCAAGCUGCCAGGUCCUUCUGCUCUGUCCCAGCUCCUUGUGCCGCAGAGGUUCUGCAGGCAUGCUCAGAACACCAUGUGGCAUUCAGAUCACCCUGAGAUGCUGGAGAAGUGCUGGGGCACACCAAAGAUACCACUCAACGAGAAAUGUGCAAGACCAUUGGAAAGUCUUCUUUCUGAGCCUCAGUAAGCACACAUGGCAGAA